GAAAUGCGAUAAGUAAUGCGAAUUGCAGAAUCCAGCGAGUCAUCGAAUCUUUGAACGCACAUUGCGCCCGCCAGCACUCUGGCGGGCAUGCCUGUCCGAGCGUCACCGAACCACCCGUCGAGCCCUGCUCGUGCUGGGGCGCCGCGGCCGCCGCGGGCCCCCAAAUCCAGUGGCGGGACCGCCGCCGCGCCGGGCGUAGUACAGCGCCUCGCCCGGGCGCGGCGGCGGCCUCCGGCCGUAAAACCCCCACUGCAGAAGACCCUUGACCUCGGAUCAGGUAGGAAUACCCGCUGAACUUAA
rnacentral:misc_RNA from 1 species